GACGAACGCUGGCGGCGUGCUUAACACAUGCAAGUCGAACGGAAAGGCUCCAUAUUGCUGGAGUACUCGAGUGGCGAACGGGUGAGUAACACGUGGGUAAUCUGCCCUGCACUCUGGGAUAAGCCUGGGAAACUGGGUCUAAUACUGGAUAUGACCUUUCUCCUUAUGGGGUUUGGUGGAAAGUUUUUCGGUGUAGGAUGAGCCCGCGGCCUAUCAGCUUGUUGGUGGGGUGAUGGCCUACCAAGGCGACGACGGGUAGCCGGCCUGAGAGGGUGAUCGGCCACAUUGGGACUGAGAUACGGCCCAGACUCCUACGGGAGGCAGCAGUGGGGAAUAUUGCACAAUGGGCGGAAGCCUGAUGCAGCGACGCCGCGUGAGGGAUGACGGCCUUCGGGUUGUAAACCUCUUUCAGCAGGGACGAAGCGUAAGUGACGGUACCUGCAGAAGAAGCACCGGCUAACUAUGUG
rnacentral:rRNA from 1 species